rnacentral:tRNA from 2 species
GGCCCGGUGGCAGAGUGGUGAUGCAGAGGACUGCAAAUCCUUGUAUGCCGGUUCGAUUCCGGCCCGGGCCUCCA